ncrna:unclassified sequences S15-Flavobacteria ribosomal protein leader
UAUAUUUGCCCCUCAAUUCUGAGAGCCAGAAUUGUUUGCAUAAAAAUUAUUUAAACAAAUAUUGGAAUG